CGUUUUUGGGGAUAGAGGGACUUGAACCCUCACGAUUUUUAAAGUCAACG
rnacentral:tRNA from 1 species